UGGGGAAUCUUGCGCAAUGGGCGAAAGCCUGACGCAGCGACGCCGCGUGCGGGAAGAAGGCCUUCGGGUUGUAAACCGCUUUCAGGAGGGACGAAGCCACUCGGGUUAAUAGCCCAGAGGGUGACGGUACCUCCAGAAGAAGCCCCGGCUAACUACGUGCCAGCAGCCGCGGUAAUACGUAGGGGGCAAGCGUUGUCCGGAUUUAUUGGGCGUAAAGAGCGUGUAGGCGGCCAAGCAGGUCCGCUGUGAAAACUCGAGGCUUAACCUCGAGACGUCGGUGGAAACCGUUUGGGCUAGAGUCCGGAAGAGGAGAGUGGAAUUCCCGGUGUAGCGGUGAAAUGCGCAGAUAUCGGGAAGACACCCGUGGCGAAGGCGGCUCUCUGGGACGGUACUGACGCUGAGACGCGAAAGCGUGGGGAGCGAACAGGAUUAGAUACCCUGGUAGUCCACGCCGUAAACGAUGGGUGCUAGGUGUGGGCGGUGUCGACUCCGUCCGUGCCGAAGCUAACGCAUUAAGCACCCCGCG
rnacentral:rRNA from 1 species